CAGCAGCCGCGGUAAACCGUAGGAGGCGAGCGUUAUCCGGAUUUACUGGGCGUAAAGGGCGUCUAGGCGGUGUUUUAAGUUGAGCGUGAAAUCUCCCGGCUCAACUGGGAGAGGUCGUUCGAUACUGGGACACUUGAGGGCGGGAGAGGGAAGUGGAAUUCCCGGU
rnacentral:rRNA from 1 species